AGCGAACGCUGGCGGCAGGCUUAACACAUGCAAGUCGAGCGGGCAUCCUUGUGGUGUCAGCGGCAGACGGGUGAGUAACGCGUGGGAACGUGCCCUUCGGUUCGGAAUAACUCAGGGAAACUUGAGCUAAUACCGGAUACGUGCGAGAGCAGAAAGGUUUAUCUGCCGAAGGAUCGGCCCGCGUCUGAUUAGCUAGUUGGUGAGGUUAUGGCUCACCAAGGCGACGAUCAGUAGCUGGUCUGAGAGGAUGAUCAGCCACACUGGGACUGAGACACGGCCCAGACUCCUACGGGAGGCAGCAGUGGGGAAUAUUGGACAAUGGGGGCAACCCUGAUCCAGCCAUGCCGCGUGAGUGAUGACGGCAUUAGGGUUGUAAAGCUCUUUUCUCCGGGACGAUAAUGACGGUACCGGAGGAAUAAGCCCCGGCUAACUUCGUG
rnacentral:rRNA from 1 species